AGAUUGAACGCUGGCGGCAUGCCUAACACAUGCAAGUCGAACGGCAGCACAGCCCGCAAGGGUGGGUGGCGAGUGGCGGACGGGUGAGGAAUACAUAGGAAUCUACCCUGUCGUGGGGGAUAACGUAGGGAACUUACGCUAAUACCGCAUACGACCGAGAGGUGAAAGCGGCGGACCGCAAGGCGUCGCGCGGCUGGAUGAGCCUAUGUCCGAUUAGCUAGUUGGCGGGGUAAUGGCCCACGAAGGCGACGAUCGGUAGCUGGUCUGAGAGGAU
rnacentral:rRNA from 1 species